rnacentral:rRNA from 1 species
AUUGAACGCUGGCGGCAGGCCUAACACAUGCAAGUCGAACGAGUGGCGGACGGGUGAGUAAUGUAUGGGAAACUGCCCGAUGGAGGGGGAUAACUACUGGAAACAGUAGCUAAUACCGCAUACCAUCGGAUGUGCCCAGAUGGGAUUAGCUAGUCGGUGGGGUAACGGCUCACCAAGGCGACGAUCCCUAGCUGGUCUGAGAGGAUGACCCGCCACACUGGAACUGGUACACGGUCCAGACUCCUACGGGAGGCGGCGGGGGGGAAUAUUGCACAAUGGGCGCCAGCCUGAUGCAGCCAUGCCGCGUGUAUGAAGAAGGCCUUCGGGUUGGAAAGUACUUUCGGCGAGGAGGCGUUACUCGCAGAAGAAGCACCGGCUAACUCCGUGCCAGCAGCCGCGGUAAUUC